UGUCCUCUCCACAGUCCCUGAACACACUGACUCUAAACAUGGAAUGGAACUGGAUCUUUCUCUUCCUCCUGUCAGUAACUGCAGGUAUCCAAUCACAGGUCCAGCUGCAGCAGUCUGGAGCUGAUCUGGUGAGGCCUGGGUCUUCAGUGAAGCUGUCCUGCAAGGCUUCUGGCUACAGCUUCACCAGUUACUGGGUGAACUGGGUAAAGCAGAGGCCUGGACAAGGCCUUGAGUGGAUUGGAAUUAUAGAUCCUUCAGAUGAUUUCACUAGCUACAAUGAGAAAUUCAAGGGCAAGGCCACACUGACUGCAGACAAAUCCUCCAGCACAGCCUACAUGCAACUCAGCAGCCUGACAUCUGACGACUCUGCGGUCUAUUACUGUGCAAGACACAGUGUUGAAACCACAUCCUUAGUGUGUCAGAAACUCUGGGGGAUCAAAAAGCUGCCCUGA